UUCCGGUUGAUCCUGCCAGAGGUUACUGCUAUCGGUGUUCGCCUAAGCCAUGCGAGUCAUAUGUAGCAAUACAUGGCGUACUGCUCAGUAACACGUGGAUAACCUGCCCUUGGGUCCGGCAUAACCCCGGGAAACUGGGGAUAAUUCCGGAUAACGCACAUAUGCUGGAAUGCUUUAUGCGUGAAAUGGAUUCGUCUGCCCAAGGAUGGGUCUGCGGCCUAUCAGGUAGUAGUGGGUGUAAUGUACCUACUAGCCCACGACGGGUACGGGUUGUGAGAGCAAGAGCCCGGAGAUGGAUUCUGAGACAUGAAUCCAGGCCCUACGGGGCGCAGCAGGCGCGAAAACUUUACAAUGCGGGAAACCGUGAUAAGGGGACACCGAGUGCCAGCAUCCUAUGCUGGCUGUCCAGGUGUGUAAAAUACACCUGUUAGCAAGGGCCGGGCAAGACCGGUGCCAGCCGCCGCGGUAACACCGGCGGCCCGAGUGGUGAUCGUGAUUAUUGGGUCUAAAGGGUCCGUAGCCGGUUUGGUCAGUCCUCCGGGAAAUCUGACAGCUUAACUGUUAGGCUUUCGGAGGAUACUGCCAGACUUGGAACCGGGAGAGGUAAGAGGUACUACAGGGGUAGGAGUGAAAUCUUGUAAUCCCUGUGGGACCACCUGUGGCGAAGGCGUCUUACCAGAACGGGUUCGACGGUGAGGGACGAAAGCUGGGGGCACGAACCGGAUUAGAUACCCGGGUAGUCCCAGCCGUAAACGAUGCUCGCUAGGUGUCAGGCAUGGCGCGACCGUGUCUGGUGCCGCAGGGAAGCCGUGAAGCGAGCCACCUGGGAAGUACGGCCGCAAGGCUGAAACUUAAAGGAAUUGGCGGGGGAGCACAACAACGGGUGGAGCUGCGGUUUAAUUGGAUUCAACGCCGGA
rnacentral:rRNA from 1 species